rnacentral:lncRNA from 1 species
UUUAUCUGGCUCUAAGGGGAAUUGUGCUUGGGGGCAGUGGACCCUGGGGAAGAAAAUUGUCAUAGACGGCACUCUGGUCAAUUGGAGCUGUCAUGCUGGCAGAAAGAGUGGUGGCAACUGCUGAAGUAUUAGUGGUGGCAGCUAUAUUGAAUAUAUUCAACCAAGCAGACGUCUACAACUUGACACAAUGAAGAUACUACACUGGGAAGAAACUACUCAAGCUAAAGCUGCUGCACAGAUAAGUUAGAACACGUUGAAGUUGAUAUACUAAGCAUGGCAGGCAGUUAUAUUCAAUUAUAUUCUGAUACAAAGUUUGUUAUUUACUGAUUAUGUUAUUACACUAAAGCAAUGCUAUAAAUACUGUAUCAAUUAAUUCAAUGAAUAAGAAGAAUUCAGUUUACAUUUUAAUAUUCAAUAUGGUAUCAGAGCUUAUUCUCUGAUUUUUUUUUCCCGCAAUUUCAAGUUUCUUCAUCUUCUUCUUUUUUCUUUUCUGCAUUCUUUCUCCUUAUUUUUCUAGCAAUGGUUGGAACUACCUGAGAAAUGGAUCCUUCCAAUCCUUUCUUUCUGUAUCAUGGUGACAGUCCUGGAGCCAUGAUCGUUUCAAAGCAACUCAAUGGUGAAAAUUACAACUCAUGAAAGAUGGCAAUGAUGAUGGCUUUAUCAGCCAAGAACAAACUCAAUUUUGUCAAUGGUACUUUGCCUAAACCAUCCAAUAUGUCUGACACUCAAGGAUUGGCAUGGACUCGCUGCAACAACAUGGUUCUCUUGUGGUUGUUGAAUUCUGUUUCAACAGAGAUUGCCAACAACAUCAUCUACAUUGAUGAUGCAUCUGACAUAUGGAAUGAUCUUCAGGAAAGGUUCUCUCAACAUAAUGGACCAUGCAUUUUCCAGCUUCAGAAAUCAAUCUCAUAUCUGUCACAGGACAAUAAUUCUGUAAGUACAUAUUUUACUGCUAUGAAAGGAUUAUGGGAUGAGUUAGGAAAUCAUCAACCAAUUCCCACAUGCACAUGUGGAGCAUUGAAGACUAUUCUAUCUUAUCAUCAUCAGCAGCAUGUUUAUCAAUUCCUCAUGGGAUUGAACGAGAAUUUUUCACAUAUUCGAGGACAAAUUUUGCUGAUUGAUCCACUGCCAUCCAUCAACAAAGUUUUCUCACUUAUUGUUCAAGAGGAGAGGCAACGUAUGAUUUCCUUUUCUAGCACUUCUUUCAAUCCAAACACCACUGCCUUACUUACUAAGACAAUACCUCCAACUCGUUUUACUGGAAACCGAUCUUUUUAUCCCCGCAAAGAUCGAUCUAUAUGCUCUCAUUGUAAUGUUCCUGGUCAUACUGUCGAAAAGUGCUACAGACUUCAUGGAUUUCCACCUGGCUAAAUUUACCAAAGGAAAGAAUGCACCUCACAGUGUAAAUCAGGUUUCUGAAACCACUGCCCCUCAGCUGCCUAUUACCUAUGCACAAUGUCAGCAACUUAUGGAGAUGUUCAAACCAUCUAUCUCAGAACUUGAAUCUUCUGUCAAUCAAGUUUCCUCAUCUGCCAAUCAAGAAUCAGAAAUUCUUACUCAAGGUGAUACUUCACUCACUAUGAACCGUGCAGGUAUUAUUUCCAAUAUAUCUCAACUCUCUACUCUAGAUCCAAAACAUUCUGUUUUUGCAUCUGCCUUGUCGAUCACUCAUUCAACUCUUCUAAAAAAUUCUAUCAAAGCACCUUGGAUAAUUGAUACUGGAGCUACAGAUCAUAUGAUAUGUUCCACAUCAUUUUUCACACGGAUCAUUUCUGCUGUUUCUAAAAUAGUAAGAUUGCCUAAUGGAGAACAUGCUUCAGUUACUCACAUCGGUACCAUUAAGAUUUCAGACUCUUUUAUCUUAAAAGAUGUGCUUUGUAUUCCUUCUUUUUCUUUCAAUUUGAUAUCUGUCAGCAAGCUGAUUCAAACCUUUCAAUGCUGUGUCAUUUUCUUACCUAAAUUCUAUUUUAUUCAGAACAUUACAAGCUGGAGAACGAUUGGUGUGGGUAAAGAAGCUGGAGGUUUAUAUCAUUUGCUGCAAAUUCCAGUUUCUGCUUUAUCUAGAACUUCUCUGUUUUCCAAUCCUGUUCCAUCCAUAUCUCAGCCUACAAUCACUGAUCUAGCUCCUGCUAGUUUCUUUGUUCAUUCUGUAAACAAUAGUCUAUGGCAUUACAGGUUAGGCCACCCUUCAGAUUCUCCCUUGAAAUUACUUUCUCAUGUAAUCCCUCAAGUGUUACAUGAAUCUAAUAAAACUUGUAGCAUUUGCCCAUUGGCUAAACAACACCGCUUAUCCUUUCCUCACAGCCUUACAAAUUCUGCACAACCGUUUGAUCUUAUUCACUGUGAUCUUUGGGGUCCCUUUUCCACUAAGUCUAUUAGUGGUUCUUCAUAUUUUCUAACCAUUGUAGAUGAUCAUAGCAGAUUCACAUGGAUUCAUCUUUUGGACAAUAAGUCUCAAACCAGCACUCAUAUUCAAUCCUUUUUUACUAUGGUUGAGACACAAUUCAAUGCCAAAAUCAAGUCCCUCCGAUCAGAUAAUGGUGUUGAAUUCCACAUGAGUCAAUUAUAUGCAUCAAAAGGUGUCAUCCAUCAACUGAGUUGUGUUGAAACACCUCAACAAAACUCCAUUGUUGAACACAAACACCAACACAUUUUGAAUAUUGCCCGAUCCCUUCGUUUCCAAUCUCAUUUACCCUUACCAUUUUGGGGAGAUUGUGUGCUCACUGCAGUCCAUUUACUCAACAGAAUUCCCACUCCUGUCUUACACAACAAAUCCCCUUAUGAAACUUUAUUUCAUUCUUGUCCAUCCUAUUCUCAUUUGAAAGUGUUUGGUUGCCUCUGCUAUGCCACUACUUUACUUAAGCAUAGACAUAAAUUUGAUCCUAGAGCUAAACCUUGUAUAUUUCUUGGCUAUCCUUCUCACAUCAAGGGAUACAAACUCUAUGAUUUACAUCAACAUACUGUUUUUGUCUCCCGCAAUGUCAUUUUCCAUGAAGCUAUCUUUCCUUUUGCCCUCAAACAUCCUAUUGAUUCUGUUCUUCCCUUACCCCCCCUGCAUGAAUCAGUAGCUCCUUUUAUUGAUCCCAUGACUUCCACUUCUUCUCCUUUUCAAACUGUUACUCCCUCACCCUCCACUUCUGACGUACUUUCCCCUCCUCUGCAUUCUGACUUACCAUCACUUCUAGCAUCCCCUUCUGAGAUCAUUUCUCAGCCAUGCAGGAGGUCUUCUAGGAUAAAACACAAACCUGGAUAUUUGCAUGACUAUCAUUGUCAUAUUACCACCUCAUCUUCAGCACCUGCACCUUCUUCUUCAGCUUCAGGUAUUCCUUAUACUCUUUCAUUCAUCCUUUCAUAUUCUCAUCUCUCUCCUGCUCAGAAAUGUUUUAGCCUUUCUGUCUCUGCUCUUAUUGAGCCUACUUCCUAUACUCAAGCUAUACGUUGUAAGGAAUGGUGUGAGGCUAUGGAUACUGAAAUCAAAGCUCUUGAAUUGAAUAACACCUGGACUGUUGUUGAUCUUCCUGCCUCUAAACACACUAUUGGAUGCAAAUGGGUUUAUAAAGUCAAGUUGAAGUCUGAUGGCACUUUGGAGAGGUAUAAAGCUAGGCUUGUUGCAAAGGCGUAUAAUUAGUGUGAGGGAUUGGACUAUUAUGAUACUUUUUCUCCUAUGGCUAAGCUCACCACUAUCAGAACUCUUUUAGCAGUUGCUGCUGUGAAACAGUGGCAUCUCCAUCAAUUGGACGUGAAUAAUGCCUUUCUUUAUGGUGAUUUAGAUGAAGAAGUCUACAUGACAUUACCACCUGGUUUUUCUAAAGAGGGGGAGUCCAAGGUUUGCAGAUUACAUAAAUCAAUCUAUGGUUUAAAGCAAUCUUCGCGGCAAUGGUUUGCAAAAUUUUCUUUUACCUUACUUGAAUUUGGUUUCGUGCAGUCCAAGGUUGAUUACACUUUGUUCACUCGAUAUUUGAUAGAUUCAUUCAUUGAUAUCUUAGUCUAUGUUGAUGAUAUAGUUGUUGCCAGUGAUAAUUCAGCUGCUGUUUCCAUAUUCAUUCACAUGCUUAACAACAGAUUUCAGCUUAAAGAUCUUGGCCAGUUGAAGUAUUUUCUUGGUUUGGAAAUAGCUCGCAGUGAGCUUGGGAUUUAUGUUUGUCAGUAAAAGUAUGCCUUGGACAUACUUGAGACUACUGGUUUGUUGGCUUCCAAACCGGCCAAAGUUCCUAUGGAUCCUAAUGUGAAAUUCUCUAAAGAUUCUGGCUAACUCUUAGCCGAUCCUACUUCCUACAGACGCCUUGUUGGAAGAUUACUCUAUCUCACUCUCAGUAGACCUUAUAUUUCUUUUGUUGUUCAGGUUUUAAGUCAGUUUAUGGACAAGCCACGGGCUCCUCAUCUAGAUGCAACCACUCAAGUUCUACGAUAUAUUAAAACCUCUCCAGCUCAGGGCAUUUUAUUUCCAGUCAUUUCUAGCCUACAAUUGAAAGCAUUUUGUGAUUCAGACUGGGCUGGUUGCUUGGAUUCUCGCCGCUCAGUCACAGGCUAUUGUGUCUUUUUGGAUAAUUCUUUGAUUUCGUGGAAAUCUAAGAAACAAACCACAAUCUCUCGUUCUUCUGCUGAAGCUGAGUACAGAGCCAUGGCUUCCACCUGCUGUGAAAUUGUGUGGCUUCGAAACCUUCUCACUGACCUGCACAUUCCACUAAAACCUGCUCUCCUCUAUUGUGAUAGUAAAGCUGCUCUUCACAUUGCUGCCAAUCUUGUUUUCCAUGAGAGUACCAAACACAUUGACAUUGAUUGUCAUGUGGUUCGUGAGAAAAUUCAAUCCGGUGUUCUUCGCACUUUUCACGUUUCUUCUCAAUACCAGUUGGCUGACAUUUUUACAAAAGCUCUCGAUUCCUCUCAUUUUCAUCCCUUAUUAUCCAAGAUGAGUGUUCAUAACAUUUAUUCUCCCUGACAUGUUCAUGACUCUCAUCUUGAGGGGGGUGUAUUGAAUAUAUUCAGCCAAGCAAACAUCUACAGCUUGAUACAAUGAAGAUACUACACUGGGAAGAAACUACUCAAGCUAAAGCUGCUGCACUGAUAAGUUAGAACACGUUGAAGCUGAUAUACUAAGCAUGGUAGGCAGUUAUAUUCAGUUAUAUUCUGUAACAAAGUUUGUUAUUUAUAACUGAUUCUGUUGUUACACUAAAGCAAUGCUAUAAAUACUGUAUCAAUUAAUUCAAUGAACAAGAAGAAUUCAGUUUACAUUUUAAUAUUCAAUAAGCUACCGUAUCAAUCGGCGUUCACAGGCCAUGGUAUAUAACUCUGACCGAUAACAUGUGAUGUAUUCGUGCUGUGUAAAAGAGGUGAAUAAAUAAUUCAUGCACGCCUGUACAGGGAAUUCUGUGUAAGUAAAGCUUGUGAUUAAUUGCAGUUGUAGAUGGGAUAACGUGGGGGUGUGAUGUGAGAAUUCUUCUCGUGUAAUGGAACAAGAAGAUGCUGUAAAUAUUAUUAUUUAAGAUAACAUCAAAGCUUCUGCUUGUUUA